ACCUUGAAAACAGGGAGGAAGGUCACACGAGUUGAACAUAGCAAUAACCUGAAGAGGCCGAUGGAGCCCGGGGAGGCUGUCAUGUAGCUGCAGGGGAUGAUGAGGGAUCAAAGACUUACUGAUGAUGGGAUAUAGCCCACCCCGGAGUGCCAGAGGAUUGCACUGUCACUCCUUAUGCGAAGAUAUACAGCACUUCAGUCAUCUGAGAGAGCUGGAGGGAAAGAGAGGUCGGAAUGUCUGCUUGCAGAGCUGGCCUAAAGGAGCAGGGAGGACCAGGAGUGAGAAAUCCUGGAGAGCUGGACGUGGCCUGAACCCCACCAGCAGCUUUCUGGCAUCUGUGAAGUUGUCCUCACUACCGUAUCUACCAAAGCUGCUCUCUGAAUGUAGUGCAAAACCAUCUUUAAAAUAUCUCCCAGUACAGCUAUGGAUCUGUUCCUCUGGGCACAUGCACCUCUUUGGCCCUGAGGUUUCCUCUCUUGCAGCACGAAGACCUCCAUUCCCCACAUUACAGGCUAGCCCCAAAGUCCUUGGUUCCAGGGGCACAGUUUUAUCUAAAUACAGGUUCUUGCUAAGCAAGCAGAGACUGCUGAUCUCCCCGGCUGAGUCUGUGCAGCUGCCUCCAGUCCUGAACUUUCUCUGCUGGGAUGAGCAGAGUUCACACUCGGCUGAACUCGUGACUGUGUCAACAGGGGGCAUGAAGAUCAGCACCAGGCAAAGGUGAGCGGAGUGCACAAGAAUGAGGCAGAGACCUUUGGGACAAAGAGUUCCCCACCCAUGGGGCCAUCGCUGCAUGGACGCUGAUGCCAGGAUAGGGCUGGAUGGAAUAUGCUGCACCAUCUCCCUGUUGGAGAGCAGACACAUUCCUUUGCCUCUGCCUCUCCGCUCAGUGCCAGCUCUGCAACGUGCCCGCUAAAUAAAGUUAGCCCUAUCAAGACCAGGCGCGUUCCUGCCUCUCGCUGUACCUCAAUCCACCGUGCGUGGCUACAGACCUGUUUUAUCACCUCCAGGAGCUGCGGGAGGCAGCUGGAACCCGUGAGCUGCUGCAGGAAGGGAUGGCACAUCGGGUGGCUCAGAAAUAAGAAGAGCACGAUGGAUGGUCAGACUCCAACCCAGUGAGGCAGACAAAGCCCAGAACCCCCGCUGGGAGGAUGAGCAAUGCAAACAGUGGAUGCUUACAUCUAAAGAAGAGAUUUUUUCCGAGUCACGGCAGAGGAAUGCGUUUUAGGCAGCUGGCUUUUGGCCUUCUGUUUUGUUUAUUCCUCCAAAGACAAAAACAAAAGUGAUGCCAUAUCAAAGCGCAGCAGGAAGCGGCCGGGAAGGGGACACAGCACAGUGACGAAGUUCAGGCGGCCGAGCACAAAUGCUCCUGCCCAGCCUGCUGAAGCAAUAGAACAGCUAUCUGCUCAGCCACUUUGUACAGCCUGGGGAUUUUUCCACACGGAAAGCACCCGCUGGGCUUCGGGAUGCUCCACACAGCCCAUGGAGCCCUCAGGGUUUGCUGGUUUCUUUGAUAACCCCAGCACAGGAGGAGUGGAGCCCUGGUGAUGUGAGCCUGUACCACAGCUGUGCUCACACUGACACAGCCCAAGAGCCACGAGGCUGCUGCCUGAUUUUCAGGCUUGGAGUCACUUUGCCUAUAAGGGAAAUGAGGAAGUGAUCCGCUGAGGGGUUUCCAUGUGACGGACUUCCUUUGCCAACCAGUGUGAGGAUGGUGCUGCCCGCCCAGGGAAGGGCUGCUUCAGGCUGGGUGCUUUGCUCACAGAACACCUCUGCCAAGUGUGGGCAGGGGCUGAGUGCUGUUAUAAUUAGAGCCGAGGUGCCAG
rnacentral:lncRNA from 1 species